rnacentral:rRNA from 1 species
UACAGAGGUCUCAAGCGUUGUUCGGAUUCAUUGGGCGUAAAGGGUGCGUAGGCGGCGCGGUAAGUCGGGUGUGAAAUCUCGGAGCUUAACUCCGAAACUGCAUUCGAUACUGCCGUGCUUGAGGACUGGAGAGGAGACUGGAAUUUACGGUGUAGCGGUGAAAUGCGUAGAUAUCGGAAGGAACACCGGUGGCGAAAGCGGCGCGCUGGAUCUCUUCUGACGCUGAGGCGCGAAAGCCAGGGGAGCAAACGGG